GAGUUUGAUUAUGGCUCAGAUUGAACGCUGGCGGCAUGCUUUACACAUGCAAGUCGGACGGCAGCACAAAGAAGCUUGCUUCUUGGGUGGCGAGUGGCGAACGGGUGAGUAACGCAUCGGAACGUACCGAGUAGUGGGGGAUAACUGUCCGAAAGGAUGGCUAAUACCGCAUACGCUUUGAGAAGGAAAGCGGGGGAUCUUCGGACCUCGCGCUAUUCGAGCGGCCGAUGUCUGAUUAGCUAGUUGGUGGGGUAAAGGCCUACCAAGGCGACGAUCAGUAGCGGGUCUGAGAGGAUGAUCCGCCACACUGGGACUGAGACACGGCCCAGACUCCUACGGGAGGCAGCAGUGGGGAAUUUUGGACAAUGGGCGCAAGCCUGAUCCAGCCAUGCCGCGUGUCUGAAGAAGGCCUUCGGGUUGUAAAGGACUUUUGUCAGGGAAGAAAAGCUUGAGGCUAAUACCCUUGAGUGAUGACG
rnacentral:rRNA from 1 species